rnacentral:lncRNA from 10 species
GAAUCUCUCUCUGCUGCCCAGGCUGGAGUGCAGUGGGAUGAUCUCGGCUCAUUGAAACCUCCACCUCCAGGUUCAAGCGAUACUCCUGCCUCAGGCUCCCGAGUAGCUGGGACUACAAGUGUGCACCACGAUGCCCAGGGCCAUGGCCCGAGGUGUUGACAAAUACAUCCAUGAAUGCUCCAAGGCGAGGAGGGAUGAUUCGAAUAAAGUCCAAGCAUAUUCAGAGGAAAUCAGGACUGAGAGUCUUCAUGGCCAAUGCUCAAAUUUGAGGCUGAGGUAAUGAUUUUUAGUUUGUCAAGGAUGUCUGUUCUGUAAGUCAAGGGAAUUUUCUGAAUGAAUAUUCAACUGAAAAUAUUUAAAUAGAAAAGAAGAUGAGUAUGCUGUGUGUGUAUGUACGAGGAGAUGCAGAGUGACACGAAGUAACAAGUAAAGAACAAUAUGAGAAGAGAGACCACUGAAGAAUGAAAAAACUUUGUAUUUUAUCUUUUUAACAGCACAUUUUUUUCAUGCUAUUUGAACAAGGGGCUGCACAUGAUAAUUUUGCCCUGGGCCCUGCAAUUUGGACUACUAGCCCUGAUUUGGGGGGACAUUUUUGUAAACUUAACAGUCUAUUUCCAUAGGCCUUAUAAAUUCUGUGAAGUACCUAAAAUUCCUUUAUUAAUCCCUUUCAUUUAAAAAUAAAUAGAGUGACAUCACUUGUUUUGGCAGCUAAGAACUCUCAUUGCAUAUAUAAAGUAAAAUACAAAUCUGGUAUAUAAAUAUCUAUUUUAAACUGUAUGAGUAUGAGAGAAUUUUGGAAAAAAUGAUAUAAAAUGUUCAGUGUUGGUGUUAUAUAAAAUGAAAGGAUCAUAUUUUAGUUACUAAUUAAAUUGGUUUUUAUUUUUUCACCCCUCAUUAUAGCACUUUAACAUCAAUAUAACUUCAGCUAAACAUUCAAAAGAUCCACAAUUAUAAUUUUAACAACAUAUAAGUACAUUGCAAAUAUAAAUUUCUCUUACUGAAGGCUUCUAUAAAAGUGCUAAUUUCUAAAUCAAUUAUGUCAUCUUUCUCUCUUUUAAACUUCCCACUAUGGAAUGCAAAUAUUGAAUAAUGUUCUAUUAUUAAAAAUGUUAGCACAAUAGGUUCAUGAUGCUUUAUCAUUUGUUGCUUUUAAUAAUAUGAUGGCAUUAUCUUUAUGUAUAAAAAUUAAAAGGGAAAUUCUAAGAAAAUAAUUAACAUUUCAACUUUGACAAAACUAUGCAUUAUAUUUAUCUCAUUUUUCUGCAAAUCUUUAAAAGGCACUAUUCUCUGAUAACAUUUCUCCAGCGAUACCUAUAGAUUUGAGAGAAAAAAACUCACACAAAUUCUUUUUACAAAGCUAUUCUCAGAUAAUUAAUUAUAUUAUCUGGUACUAAUUGGUAGAGAUUGAAAGUAUUUAAUAGCAGAAUCUAACAAAUGACCAAAACGCAGACAAUUUGACUGGUCUCAUAUCUAUAUCUUGC